GGCUUUUUCUCCGGUUCUCGUCCACCCCCGCCGAACGGCACAAUGGAAUAUGACUGGCAGCAUAUGAAGCGGGUGGACGGUCGGGAUGUGAUCAUAUCGCCCAAAUCAGCAGCUGGUUGCGACAGAGCAAAUUUGACAACAUACGGAUAUACGGGACCGAACCUUACCGAACAGGAUGGAGUGGCAACCAAUGGAGAUCAACCCGGAGAUGCUGAACAAGGUGCUCAGUGGGCUGGGGGUGUGUUGGUAGCUGGGG